UACGGGGGGAGCAAGCGUUGUUCGGAUUUACUGGGUGUAAAGGGCGCGUAGGCGGUCGUGACAAGUCACUUGUGAAAUCUCCGGGCUUAACUCGGAACGGUCAAGUGAUACUGUCGGACUAGAGUACAGAAGGGGCAACUGGAAUUCUCGGUGUAGCGGUGAAAUGCGUAGAUAUCGAGAGGAACACCUGCGGCGAAGGCGGGUUGCUGGGCUGAUACUGACGCUGAGGCGCGAAAGCCAGGGGAGCGAACGGG
rnacentral:rRNA from 1 species